ACAUGCUAAUUACUUAAUUAAUUAGUACAGUAAUUAGGUUGUCACUGAAAAACAUUUCUUUUUUUUUCUACUAAUGUACUCUCCAUGGCCAGAAAUAAAUGUCG
rnacentral:lncRNA from 1 species